UACAGAGGUCUCAACCGUUGUUCGGAUUCAUUGGGCGUAAAGAGCUCGUAGGCGGUCUGUCGCGUCGGCUGUGAAAUCCCGAGGCUCAACCUCGGGUCUGCAGUCGAUACGGGCAAACUGGAGUGUUGCAGGGGAGACUGGAAUUCCUGGUGUAGCGGUGAAAUGCGCAGAUAUCAGGAGGAACACCGGUGGCGAAGGCGGGUCUCUGGGCAACAACUGACGCUGAGGAGCGAAAGCGUGGGGAGCGAACAGG
rnacentral:rRNA from 1 species